rnacentral:rRNA from 1 species
UACGUGAGGGGCGAACGUUGUUCGGUGUCACUGGGCUUAAAGGGCGCGUAGGUGGUUGUGUAAGUAACGUGUGAAAUCCCUCGGCUUACCCGGGGAAUUGCAUGUUAUACUGCAUGACUUGAGGAUCAGAGGGGAAUGGGGAACUCCAGGUGUAGCGGUGAAAUGCGCAGAUAUCUGGGGGAAGGCCGGCGGCGAAGGCGGCCAUCUGGAUCAACACUGACGCUGAGGCACGAAAGCGUGGGGAGCAAACAGG